UUCCUCAUCUGAACAGAUGUGGGAAAGUAACUGCUUUUUCCUAGUGUGGAACUGUCUUUUUGACUCAAAUUUUACUCAUUGAGCCGAUGCAGCUGAUGACACAACUUUUUUCCCCAUCAGAUCGACCCUGUUGAUCUAACUAAACCUGUAAGCCAGUUUUAUCUGAUGCAUCGACACAAAAUAACUUGUUUUUAUUUGUUGCUUGCUCUGUUGGUUGGUGUUAUUCCAGCAUUCAGAUUAUUUGUUCACUUCCUACAGGAGUCCUGGGUGCUACUAUGUUGACAUUAGUCUAAUCUGAUGUCUUUGCUUCAGUCCGUCCUGCAACAGAAGUUGCUCAGCCAUGGAGUUGGAGUCCAAAUACUGAAAGAAAAAGGAGUCCUGUGUUUCCAGCUGAACCAAUCCCACAAGGUGUUUGUGUACUUAGCUAGAGGGCUAGCCCCAGUUGAAGGCUGUACUCCCCCUUUCUUGAAAAAUUCAAGAAUUAAAUUUCUGACUUUGUAGCAUUUCUACCUACAGAAAGAAUAAAAGAAAUUAAAACUUGUAUUUUGUCA
rnacentral:lncRNA from 1 species